AACGAACGCUGGCGGCGUGGAUAAGACAUGCAAGUCGAACGAUCACUAUUGGGUAGCAAUAUUCGGUAGUGGGAGUGGCGCAAGGGUGCGUAACACGUGGGUAAUUUGCCGUAAAGUCUGGGAUAACUUGCUGAAAGGCGAGCUAAUACCGGAUGUGAUUGCUGGAGGGCAUCCUCUGGCACUUAAAGUCGGGGACCGUAAGGCCUGACACUUUUCGAUAAGCCCGCGGCCUAUCAGCUAGUUGGUGAGGUAACGGCUCACCAAGGCUAAGACGGGUAGCUGGUCUGAGAGGACGACCAGCCUCACUGGGACUGAGACACGGUCCAGACACCUACGGGUGGCAGCAGUCGAGAAUUUUUCNCAAUGGGGGAAACCCUGAAGGAGCGACGCCGCGUGGGGGAUGAAUGGCUUCGGCCCGUAAACCCCUGUCAUUUGCGAUCAAACCUUACGACCUAACACGUCGUGAGCUGAUAGUAGCGGAAGAGGAAGGGACGGCUAACUCUGUGCCAG
rnacentral:rRNA from 1 species